AGUUGUUGCUUGCUUCCAGCCAUGAACUUACUCUGCCUGCGAUAUAUAUUUUUUAUCCCGUGUUUAUUUUCUUCAGUAAAGUUGUGAACUUAAACCAAACCUCUGCAUUGGCAAAAUAAGCACAUUUAUGCACCGUUUCUUCAUUGGUGGCUGGGCACCGCGGCUGCAUCCUCUUCUUCGUGGCAUGGCACAGUAAUUGCAGGUUCAUCAGUCAGGUGGUCAGCACCCAAACUAAAACCAUGAGUCAUGGUGGCCAGGAUGACGUCCAAGAAUAGCAUCCCAGCAGGUACCCCACAGGUAAAUACAUGAGUAGUAAGUUGGGAUGAGUGUUAUUUUCUGACAUUUUACAUCACAUUUUAAUUCAGACAAUAUUGCCAAAGGAGUUAAUUAUUCAGUACUGUACCAGUACAUGAUAAUGCAUGGCUAGAUUCAUUUUAAAUAGCAUGUUUGUCUUUUCUUUUUUUCUAAUUAGAUGGGGGAGCCAACAUGAAGUGGUGUCCAGAGAGGCUUCUUCCUCUUUGGCUUUGCAGCAGCACCAGGACCUCACCAUCAGUGAUGCUGUUCCCCUCAUCCAUCGGGCCUACCCUUACAUUCCUCCCCUGAUGCACUGAUCACCUGUACCAGUUGUUGGAGUUUUCAGAAGGGCUCUAAAUUAACUUUUUUUUAUUCACUAGUAGCCAAAAUGGCUAGUAUGUUAAUCUCCAAACAUACCGGUACAUUAAAUAAUGGGUCAAAGUGCCAAGUAUGUUUUCUUUUCUACCAGCAAAACUUAAUUUUCCCAGCAUUUGGCUGGUUGGCUGGUGAGCCCUGGUUGUCAUUGAUGGUGAGUAGCUGUGAUAAUAAAUAACUGAAAUGAUGAAGUCCA